rnacentral:ncRNA from 1 species
AAAUCCCUAGGAAAAAAGAUAAAACUGCCUAGACGUAACGUCGUCGUUAGUUUCCCUAUUUUUCUACGGGAGUUU